rnacentral:rRNA from 1 species
GAUGAACGCUGGCGGCGUGCCUAAUACAUGCAAGUCGAGCGAACAGACGAGGAGCUUGCUCCUCUGACGUUAGCGGAGGACGGGUGUGUCACACGUGGAUCACCUACUUAUAAGACUGGUAUCACUUCGGAAAACCGGAGCUUAUACCGGAUAAUAUCUUGAUCCGCAUGGUUCAAUGGUGAAAGUCGGCUUUUGUGUCUCUUAUCGCUGCAUCCCAGCCGCUUUAGCUAGUUGGUAGGGUAACGGCUUACUAAGGCGACGAUGCGUGACCGAGCUGCGGGGGUGAUCGGCGACACUGGAACUGAGACACGGUCCAGACGCCUGCGAGAGGCAGCAGUAGGGAAUCUGCCGCAGUGGGCGGAAGCCUGGCGGAGCAACGCCGCGUGAGUGAUGAAGAUCUUGGGAGCGUGAUGCUCUGUUAUUAGGGAAGAACAAAUGUGUAAGGAACUAUACACGGCUUGACGGUACCUAGUCAGAAAGCCACGGCUAACUACGUG